CUGUUACUCGACUACGAAUGCACCAUCAGUGUCUUCGAUAACGAGCAGUGCACUCCACUUAUCAAGGCCAGCCAGCGGGAGUUUCAUUUGUGUGUCGAUACCCUGCUUACACAUGGAGCUGAUCCGAACGACGCAGACAUGUACGGGAACACCGCGCUGCAUUACGCAGCUCUGAAUGAUGACUUAGAACUGGCAGAUCUACUGCUUGCCUACGAUGCAAAUAUCGAGGCAAAAACAAAGGAAGGCUUCACGCCAUACCUCCUUGCUCUACAGGAAAACAAAGAUUUUAUAGCAGAAUUUUUGGAACACAUGGGCGCAGAUAUACAUGCGGAGGAGCUGCUGGAUAGG